rnacentral:ncRNA from 2 species
GAAAGCCGUAUGAGGCGAAAGUCUCACGUACGGGUUGAAAUGGGGGAAAAGGCGGAGAUAACAUCAAAACCUUACCUAUCACUAU